UACAGAGGGUCCAAGCGUUGUCCGGAAUCACUGGGUGUAAAGGGUGCGUAGGCGGGCUUGUAAGUCAGAGGUGAAAGCCCACGGCUUAACCGUGGAACUGCCUUUGAUACUGCAGGCCUUGAGUCCUGGAGAGGCUGCCGGAAUUCGUGGUGUAGCGGUGAAAUGCGUAGAUAUCACGAGGAACACCGGAUGCGUAGGCGGGCAGCUGGACAGGUACUGACGCUGAGGCACGAAAGCGUGGGGAGCGAACAGG
rnacentral:rRNA from 1 species